rnacentral:rRNA from 1 species
AUUACCCAAUCCCGACACGGGGAGGUAGUGACAAUAAAUACUGAUACAGGGCUCUUUUGGGUCUUGUAAUUGGAAUGAGUACAAUUUAAAUCCCUUAACGAGGAACAAUUGGAGGGCAAGUCUGGUGCCAGCAGCCGCGGUAAUUCCAGCUCCAAUAGCGUAUAUUAAAGUUGUUGUGGUUAAAAAGCUCGUAGUUGAACCUUGGGCCUGGCUGGCCGGUCCGCCUCACCGCGUGUACUGGUCCGGCCGGGCCUUUCCCUCUGUGGAACCCCAUGCCCUUCACUGGGUGUGGCGGGGAAACAGGACUUUUACUUUGAAAAAAUUAGAGUGCUCCAGGCAGGCCUAUGCUCGAAUACAUUAGCAUGGAAUAAUAGAAUAGGACGUGUGGUUCUAUUUUGUUGGUUUCUAGGACCGCCGUAAUGAUUAAUAGGGACAGUCGGGGGCAUCAGUAUUCAAUUGUCAGAGGUGAAAUUCUUGGAUUUAUUGAAGACUAACUACUGCGAAAGCAUUUGCCAAGGAUGUUUUCAUUAAUCAGGAACGAAAGUUAGGGGAUCGAAGACGAUCAGAUACCGUCGUAGUCUUAACCAUAAACUAUGCCGACUAGGGAUCGGACGAUGUUAUUUUUUGACUCGUUCGGCACCUUACGAGAAAUCAAAAGUGCUUGGGCUCCA